rnacentral:lncRNA from 1 species
AAUUUUUAUUUUUCAGGGUGUGCAAAAAUAGUAAAUGUUCCCUGUAAGUAUGUGCUCAUUUCACUCACAAAAGGAAUACAAGUUCAAUGCAAAAAAAAUAUACUUUCAGUCCACUCACCACUAUACACAAAAAAUGCAAAUGACAUUGCCGACACAAACAUAUAGUAUGUUUUAGUUGUUUCAAUUGUUGCAAUAGAUCCAACUGAAGAACAACAUUAGGUGGCGUUGUGAUGAUUUUUGGUUUACGUUUCUCUUUUCCUAUCACUACAAACCACUGACAGUCUGAAAUUUGUAUUUGACCAUUAUAAAUUGGUUUAACAUUUUCAAAAAUAAAUUAAUGAUUCGGAUCGAUAUUUACCCUAUUUGACAUUGCUGACUUAUACUCGCAUUAAAAUUAUAUAACAAUAUUGCACUAUACAGUCCCAACUUUUCGAUGACCUUUAUUCAAUCGAUACUCAGACUGCUUUAAAUGUCUGAUCCAUAACCGACAUGGGUUUUCCUUAAAUGUGUUUAGUUAGUUUUGAAAUAUAUCAUUUAUGUUUUGAAAAUAAGUUCCGGUAAAUAAAUUUGGAAGGGAAGCUAGAUAUUAUAAUUAUCCCUACAUCUGAAAAACAAAAUGAGAUGGAUAUCAACUGUUUUUUAGUUUCAACUAACAACUUUAGUCUAAAUAAAGUUUUUAAUGGCCUCAUACAAUCCGCUCUUAAAAGAGGCAUCGCAAUACUUUUCAAUGCAGGCCAACUAACCUGCUUUUCCACGCUGUGGACUUCAAGAACGGACAGUCAUUGAAGACCAAAAGCGUUGCCAAACAUAAUCAUAGAUUAAAUAAAUACAAUCUCUGACACAACUUAUUGGAUAUAUGUCAUUUUCAUAUAACCUAAAUCGAAUAUAAGUAACCAAUCGAUUUCCAUUGGUGAGGUUAGUUUCUAUUUUGAAAUAUUCCGUCUUAUGCAUGUUAUGUAUGAUAUAUUUAAAAUUUAUUAUCAUAUUUUAUUAUAGAUAUAGACAGACAUGUUGGCAUGUUUAUAAAGGAAACGCAUAGAACUAUUCCACAACCCAAUGCGUCUUGUGUACAUAUGAUCCAAUGUUGGAAUUUGUGUAUGUUCAAUCAAAGUAUAUGGCUUCUAGUGUGGAUUCCGUCUAUCUCCUUCACACUUGAAUAGACAAAAUAAAAUAUUAUCAACU